rnacentral:rRNA from 1 species
UGCGCAGGCGGGGAUGUAAGUCAGUGGUGAAAAGCUGCCGCUUAACGGUAGUCUUGCCAAUGAUACUGCAUUUCUUGAGUAUGGUUAAGGUAGGCGGAAUGUGCAGUGUAGCGGUGAAAUGCAUAGAGAUUGCACAGAAGGCCGAUUGCGGAGGCAGCUUACUGAGCCAUAAACUGACGCUGAGGCACGAAAGCGUGGGGAUCGAACA